CCUAUGAAAGGGGACCAUUUUCUUCCACAUAAAUGUUUUAGAGCCAUUGACCUAAUUAACAAUAACUCUAAGUUGAAGAGUUUAAUAUUUAAACUCUUCAAGUUUACAAGUUAAUAAUUUAUUGCAGACAAAAGAAGUUGGGUACAUUUUUUAAAUUAAAGAGCAAACACCUGUAUUAUAUACAACAAAACUGUUGCAUUAACUCAAGAUAUGAUGACCCCAUGUCACAUUUUUAGUUGAAUAUUAUGCUGUUGGAAGGAUUUUAUAAGCCAUGCAACAAGCGUAAAUGGAAUGAAGAAAGUUUUCAACUCCCGGAGGACACAGAGCAUGAACAGGCUGCAAGAAAAGGACAGCUCCAAAGAAGAAAGUCAACCAGAAAUAAAAAGUACAGGACAAAGAGCUCGUGAAUGUCUGAGGAUUCACAGCAAAGGCAGCAAAGCCUCGUUAGAGGAAUUGGAAUCGAAUAGAGAUUGAAUGAACCUGAAAAGGGGUCGGAGCGCCCUCUCUAACACAGAAAAGACAACAACAAUGGGUAAAGAUACACAGGUCAUAAAAGCAGCUUUGAAAUGCUGGCAUCACCAACAGGGUUAUUCCCUUAAUAAUAGUAGAUACGGAACUACUAUAAACUCCCUGAUGAGAAGGGAUUAAUGAUGUCAAACGAAACUGAAACCUCUAUAAUAUACUUCUAAUGUAUUCUUCUAUUUAAGUGAUGUUCUUAGCAGUUUCAUUAUUGCAGUCAAUUUGAUUAUUGUCAAAUUAUCCAUUUUCAUUAAAGUUGCCAUCUAAAUCUCUAAUUCGUUUAGCAUCUAAGGUAGAAGUACUUGAGUGGACUCCUUUGAAUAAGUGAUACCAGUGAUGACAGAUAAUGGUGCUACUUUGACUGAUUUUGUUCACACUCUUAGCUAUCUAUUAAAAAGGACAGAUUAAAUACAUAGCAACCCAAAAUGGUUACACGAAAUUGUUUUUAACUUGAUAACCUCCCUUCUGUGGAAGGUGAUAGGUCCUCAAGCAGUUAGAGAAACUGAACUGAUUUACUUCUCCCCACAUUACCCUGCUCCGGAUUUUCCUUAUCUUGUUGAUUAGAGUCAGAAAUUUCUUAGCAGUGACUGACGAUGUGUAUAUUAUUUCUGGCACAACACAGAACAACAUGGAAAGUUCCAUUGAGUUCUUUAUGGCCAAUGAAAGUAUUAUUGGGCAAAUAUUUUAUAUUCGUGCGGGGCUGGUUUUACAACAGGUAUUUAUUUAGUCACUCCUCUCGUAUUUAUUGAGUUAA
rnacentral:lncRNA from 1 species